rnacentral:rRNA from 1 species
UACGUAGGUGGCAAGCGUUAUCCGGAAUUAUUGGGCGUAAGGCGCGCGCAGGCGGUUUCUUAAGUCUGAUGUGAAAGCCCACGGCUCAACCGUGGAGGGUCAUUGGAAACUGGGGGACUUGAGUACAGAAGAGAAGAGUGGAAUUCCACGUGUAGCGGUGAAAUGCGUAGAGAUGUGGAGGAACACCAGUGGCGAAGGCGACUCUUUGGUCUGUAACUGACGCUGAGGCGCGAAAGCGUGGGGAGCAAACAGG